UGAAGGUCAUUGACUCAGAUUCCACGCUGGAGAUCGGAGCUGGAACACUCCCAAUCUAGUCCCGGAGGGAGGGGGUGGCAGAGGAGACGCAGUCCCUCAGACACAGCACAGACCGACCUUUGCCCCGGGAUCACUCAGCACUGUCCGAGAUCACUCAGCACCGUUCCGGGAGGCAGCCAAGCUCUGUGUGACCACUCGGCAAGAAUUAGACUCACUGGUCUGACAAGCCUGCUCCAAGCCACUCCUGCUUUUCUCUGGAAUCUCCCGUCAGCUCCGAUUCCUUCUGGGCACAGGUGAGGCGACGAACUGAUGCAGUUCACCAGUGCACAGCUCCCACAAAACAGGUUUGAUCACAACUCUGCCUGUGUGGACUCUGCACGUUCGCCUUGUGAGCAUGUGGAUUUCCCCAGGGGCUCUGGAUUCCUCCUACCGGCGGCUGGAUCAGUGAGGAAACUGGAAACACACCGGCUGUGCUGGUGAGGAGAGUGACCAUCUAAUCCCAAUGUACACCUAGUCCCAGGCAAGACAAGCACUGGGCAGACAUAUCCACCUGAUUCAUCAAACCCUUCACACAGUGGCCCCUUUUGGGUCCGAGGAGAGGGGUCUCAGUGAGAAUGGCUGCUCAGAGUGAAGAAACGCUUGUCCUCCACUGGCUGAACAACAAUGGCAGUGCAAACCAUUCACUUGAAGGACAUCACCCCCAUCUGGCAGCGAUAUGGUCGAGUCCCAGAGAGGUUGGUGGAACCACUCAAGGUUGAGAUCUGCACCAUGUUGGACCUGGGAGUGGUCAAGCCCUCUGAGAAUGAGUAGUGCAGCCUGGUGUUGAGUGUGCCAAAGCCUGAUGGUCCCUGGGGGUUUGCACUGACUUCUGAAAAAUCAGCGCUGACUCCAAGUUCAAUGCCUACCCCAUGCCAUGGAUUGAUGAGCUAUUGAAAAGGUUGGGCCAUGCCAAGUUUAUAACAAACUUGAUCUCUGCCAGGGUUAUUGGCAGAUCUUGUUGGAAAAGGAUUCUUGUUGAGUACACCACAUUCAGCACUCACCUAAGGUGAUGCAAGAAGCAUUGUGUGGCCUAGCUGGAUGAUGUGGUCAUCUGGGAGGACCACCUAAAGCACCUUGAGGAUGUCCUGAAGAUGACUGCAGUUGCUAGCUUGACAUUGAACAUUCAGAAGUGUGAGUGGGCCCACGUUGAGACACGGUACCUGGGCUACCAGCUAGGGCGAGGACUAGUUCAGCCACUGGUCGACAAGGUCAAGGCCAUGAGAAAUAGUCCCCGGCUCCACAUGAAGAAACAGGUCCUGUCUUUCCUGGGGCUAAUGGGUGGUAUCGCCAUUUUACCCCUCAGUUUGUCACCAUGGCAGUCCCACUAACAGAAAUGAUGCCGAGGUCUGCAAAGAGUCCAGUUCGAUGAAUGUGAGGAAGCCUUUGUGACUCUGAAGGAGACUUUGUGUUCCCGACCAGUCCUCAUCAGCCCAGACUUUACCAAACCAUUCACCAUCCAAGUCGAUGCCUCAGCAGUGGGGAUUGGAACAGUCAUGGCCCAGGGGAACGAGAGAGAAGAACAGCCAGUAUUGUACCUUAGUUGGAAACCACUACCAUGGGAGACAAGGUAUCCCACUAUUGACAAGGAAGCACCCACCAUAAAAUGGGCCUUGGAGAGCCUCCAGUAUUACCUGCUAGGCAGAGAAUUAAUUUGGGAGACUGACAACAAAACACUCACCUGGAUCCUCUCUAUGAAAAACCACAAUGCACAUAUCACAAGAUGGUACCUGGCUCUACAGCCAUUCCAUUUCGAAAUCCAUCAUAAGGCAGGUCAGACCAACGUCAUGGCAGACUAUCUCUCCCGAUUGCCCACCUUGUGCAAUCCAGAAGAGUUGGGGGGCUUUCUGACAAUACAGGUUGGCAAUGCUAAUUCUCCCGCUAACCUUGUCCCUUUGCCUGGUUAGACACUCCUCCUCGUUCUGUCCCUGGUCUAGUUUCCCCAGUAGUUCACACACUUUGCCCUCCCAUUCUGCAAUUCUUAGGAGCUCACCAUUUCCACACCCUAAUAUAACUCAUAAAAAUACGAAUUCUAGUUACAGGCAUUCCCAACAGUUUUAUUUAUUUUCACUCAAACUGUUACAUCGGUUUGUAGAUGGGAGAGCUGCCCCAAAAGACCCAAGGGACAGCUCACAGCAUCCUAAAAUAAUGCCUGGGUUAGUGGAAGCAGGUGCACUACACCCACACAGGCAACUCCACUGGUGGGGUGGCAUUAUUCUUUUAUAUUCACCUGAGCAUGUGGACACUGAUCUAUGGGUUUAACUGAGGCAUUUAUUGUGAAAUAAACUGUAGGAUGUUAGAAUCCCUGUUUAAAACGUUCCAGUUCUGCAUCUGAAAUAAUUGUUAUGGUCUGGUCAUUGGAUUACCCUUCUCUGAGACCAACAGUACAAUUUCCGGGUUUUCUAGGCCCGAUGGAGGCAGAUUUAAACCCUCAGUCUGGCUUUGCUAGAGAGGUGAUGGUUAGUGAAUAGUUACAUUGGAAAGUUAAUGAAAAAAGUGUGUCAUGGAGAAAGCCUCCGUAUAUUUGUAAAUUUUUGUACAUACAUGUUUGUUUUCAUUUGUCUAUUUGUAAAUACUUAUUUUCUUCACAACUAUUGGGGAGCUUUUGCUUUUUUUCCCCACAUAGCACUAAAUAAAACACGUUGCAUUAACAUGCUGUUGCAGUAUACAGUCUGUUUUUCUUUCAACUGGCGACCUUCAUCAGGCAUGCUUACCCUCACCUGACAGAGCGGUGUGACACAGGGACACUGGGGACAGGGUCCGGGAAUUGGCAGGUUCACAGAGACACUGGAGAAAG